GUCUGGGAAACUGCCUGAUGGAGGGGGAUAACUACUGGAAACGGUAGCUAAUACCGCAUAACGUCGCAAGACCAAAGUGGGGGACCUUCGGGCCUCAUGCCAUCAGAUGUGCCCAGAUGGGAUUAGCUAGUAGGUGGGGUAACGGCUCACCUAGGCGACGAUCCCUAGCUGGUCUGAGAGGAUGACCAGCCACACUGGAACUGAGACACGGUCCAGACUCCUACGGGAGGCAGCAGUGGGGAAUAUUGCACAAUGGGCGCAAGCCUGAUGCAGCCAUGCCGCGUGUGUGAAGAAGGCCUUCGGGUUGUAAAGCACUUUCAGCGGGGAGGAAGGCGGUGAGGUUAAUAACCUUGUCGAUUGACGUUACCCGCAGAAGAAGCACCGGCUAACUCCGUGCCAGCAGCCGCGGUAAUACGGAGGGUGCAAGCGUUAAUCGGAAUUACUGGGCGUAAAGCGCACGCAGGCGGUCUGUCAAGUCGGAUGUGAAAUCCCCGGGCUCAACCUGGGAACUGCAUUCGAAACUGGCAGGCUAGAGUCUUGUAGAGGGGGGUAGAAUUCCAGGUGUAGCGGUGAAAUGCGUAGAGAUCUGGAGGAAUACCGGUGGCGAAGCGGCCCCCUGGACAAAGACUGACGCUCAGGUGCGAAAGCGUGGGGAGCAAACAGGAUUGGAUACCCUGGUAGUCCACGCCGUAACGAUGUCG
rnacentral:rRNA from 1 species